rnacentral:rRNA from 1 species
GACGAACGCUGGCGGCGUGCUUAACACAUGCAAGUCGAACGAAGCGGCGAACGGGUGAGUAAUACGUGAGUAACCUGCCCUCCUUUUUGGGAUAAGCCUUGGAAACGGGGUCUAAUACCGAAUAACGGGGGAUGGUCUCGCGGCCUAUCAGCUUGGUGGGGGGGUGAUGGCCUACAAAGGCGGUGACUGGUAGCCGGCCGGAGAGGGUGACCGGGCAAAUUAGGAAUGGGAUACGGUCCAGCCGCCUACGGGAGGCGGCAGUGGGGGAUAUUGCACAAUGGGCGAAUGCCUGAUGCAGGGGCGCCGCGUGGGGGUUGAAGGCUUUUGGGUUGUAAACAUUUUUCGCUAUCGAAAGGGUAGGUGCAGAAGAAGCGCCGGCUAACUACGUGCCAGCAGCCGCGGUAAUAC